rnacentral:rRNA from 1 species
UACAGAGGAGCCAAGCGUUGUCCGGAUUGACUGGGCGUAAAGCGCACGCAGGCGGUUCUGUGCGUGGGGUGUGAAAUCUGGCCGCUUAACGGCCAGGCGCCAUCCCAUACGGCAGGACUGGAGUGAUGCAGAGGUCGAUGGAAUUGCCGGUGUAGUGGUGAAAUGCGUAGAGAUGCGGAGGAACACCGAUGGCGAAGGCAGCCCCCUGGGCUGACACUGACGCUCAGGCACGAAAGCGUGGGGAGCAAACAGG